UACGUAGGGGGCAAGCGUUGUCCGGAAUCAUUGGGCGUAAAGCGCGUGUAGGCGGCCCGGUAAGUCCGCUGUGAAAGUCGGGGGCUCAACCCUCGAAUGCCGGUGGAUACUGUCGGGCUAGAGUACGGAAGAGGCGAGUGGAAUUCCUGGUGUAGCGGUGAAAUGCGCAGAUAUCAGGAGGAACACCAAUUGCGAAGGCAGCUCGCUGGGACGUUACUGACGCUGAGACGCGAAAGCGUGGGGAGCGAACAGG
rnacentral:rRNA from 1 species